rnacentral:rRNA from 1 species
GACGAACGCUGGCGGCGUGCUUAACACAUGCAAGUCGAACGGAAAGGCCCUGCUUUCGGGCUACUCGCGUGGCCAACGGGUGAGUAACUCAUGGGUGGUCUGCCCUGCACUUCGGGUUAAGCUUCGUAAACUGGGCCUAAUACCUGCUGGGAGCCAUCUUUAGCGGGGUGGUUGGAAAGUUUUUUCGGUGUAUGAUGAGCUUGCGGACUGUCAGCUUGUUGGUGGGGUAAUGGCGUACCAUGGCGGCGACGGGUAGCCGGCCUGAGAGGGUGGACGGACACUCCGGACUCGUAAGAGAGGCCAGAGUAGGGCGGGUGGCAGAAGGGGCGAAUACUGGACGAUGGGCGGAAGCCUGAUGCAGGGAGGCCGCGUGGGCGAUGAAGGCCGUCGGGUUGUAAGCUCCUUUCGCUAGGGAAGAAGGUUUUUUGUGACGGUACCUAGACAAGAAGCACCGGCUAACUACGUG